UACACGAUUCUGAUCUGAUAUUCUUCAAUAUAACCAAAUACAUAGAAUAGAACACAAAAUGAUCAUCUUAUACCUAAGCAUCACUUUUAACAUACUUCUGGUUUCAGGUUCCUCUCUCAGUGACAAGGUCCACCAGACUCCAGCUGACAUGUACAGCAAACCAGGAGAAACAGCCAAAAUCAGCUGUUCACACAGUGUUGACAACUACAACCAAAUCCUCUGGUACAAGCAAUCAAAGGACAGAAAGCUACAGUUCCUGGGAUACAUGUUAGCAACCAGUGGAAAACCAGAACCAGGAGUCAAUGUGAAGAUAGAAGGAAAUGCAAACAAAGGCCAGACCUGCACAUUAACAACUGAAGAACUCAGUCUGAACAGCAGUGCAGUUUACUUCUGUGCUGCUAGUUUACACAGUGAUACAUAUCGCUGCUCCUCAGUACAAAAACCUCAUCAUCACACAUUUUUUUUUAUCUCUGUAUUACAGCUCACAGCCUGAUGCACCUGUACUCCUUCCUCUCAGUAGAUGGUGGUAUAUCUUUACUCAGACCUUUAUACUGAGCCAGUGGUGUUUAGUGGUAGUUGACAUGAUGGUUAUAUUUAGGAGGAGGACGCAUUAUGACACCACGCACUUAAUGACUUCAUGUUGAUUCUCUGAUAGGAGGGUUUACUCAAAGAGGAGGUUGGAAAUAAUCAGCCUGACUGCUGAUACAUAGAAGAAAACAUAGCGAUUCAUAGCAACACGAUUAUGAUCUGAUAUUCUUCAAUAUAACCAAACACUCAAAGAAC